UACAGAGGUCUCAAGCGUUGUUCGGAUUCAUUGGGCGUAAAGGGUGCGUAGGUGGCAUGGUAAGUCGGAUGUGAAAUCCCGGGGCUUAACCCCGGAACUGCAUUCGAUACUGCCAGGCUAGAGUACUGGAGAGGAGAUUGGAAUUUACGGUGUAGCAGUGAAAUGCGUAGAUAUCGUAAGGAAGACCAGUGGCGAAGGCGGAUCUCUGGACAGUUACUGACACUGAGGCACGAAGGCCAGGGGAGCAAACAGG
rnacentral:rRNA from 1 species